rnacentral:lncRNA from 1 species
UUUAAAAAUGGAUUGAUAGGAUAUUUGUAAAUAUAUAGAAACAAAACAUGUAGACAGAUUUGUAAAAUUUUUGGUCGGUAGCAGCCAAGGAGUGGAGUAGUUGAGCAGUAGGUCCCCAGAAAGAAGGCCUAUACACUAUCACAUUAUGAAGAACUAUCUGUCAAAGGAUCAAAGUAGUGUCCGCCACUCUGUGCAAACAACCAUGCCCUAAACAUAAAGCUCCUUUGCAAACUCUAGAGAAGGCGGGCUUGCUCUUCGGUGUCGGCACUAAGCUAGGGAUCAACCUUGUCAUCGAGAUCAAGGUUGACCUCGUCAGGCGUGGGGGUGAGGUCACACAUGUUCAUCGUCGUGGGUGGUCCUCCUCGUCCAUGAAGUGUGCCUGCAGCAGUACCAUGUGAAUGGAUUAUAAGCAUAAUCAUCCUAGUAUACAAAUUCUCUCAAGGCAAAGCUUGACAAAAUAAAUUCUAUCUACCACAGUUUGAGCCACUACAAAGAAUUACAAAGGAGUAGCUAAUCAGAUUACAAAUAUCAAGUCAUGGUGGUUAUCUUAAUAACAAAUAUACUUGCUGUUAAAAGUGAAUUGACUAAUUAAAGCCACAUCAGGCAUCACAUACUACUAGUGCUGCUGCUAAAGUUGGAGUCUGGCAUAAAACAUAUUCAAAAACAUACUAUACACAGCACAAGAAAAAGAAUGUGCCGAUAAUCAGACAACAACUCAUCUCAUCUUUUCAAAUCUCAUACUAGACACACAGAAUUUGGUGUAAUACUGAAAAUAAGCAACACCCCCAGGUAACCGAUGGCAGGGACAUGUAGAACAUGAGAGAGAGGGAGCAUAGCGGGGGAUGAUACCUUGGCGAGCUCCAUUUUG